GAUGAACGCUAGCUACAGGCUUAACACAUGCCAGUCGAGGGGAAACGACAUUGAAGCUUGCUUCGAUGGUCGUCGACCGGCGCACGGGUGAGUAACGCGUAUCCAACCUGCCUCUGACCAAGGGAUAACCCGUCGAAAGUCGGCCUAAUACCUUAUGCAGUCGUCGGAAGUCAUCUGAUGACGACGAAAGAUUUCAUCGGUGAGAGAUGGGGAUGCGUCUGAUUAGCUUGUUGGCGGGGUAACGGCCCACCAAGGCAACGAUCAGUAGGGGUUCUGAGAGGAAGGUCCCCCACAUUGGAGCUGGGACACGGUCCAAACUCCUACGGGAGGCAGCAGUGAGGAAUAUUGGUCAAUGGGCGAGAGCCUGAACCAGCCAAGUAGCGUGCAGGAUGACGGCCCUAUGGGUGGUAAACUGCUUUUAGGCGGGGAUAAAGUGAGGGACGUGUCCUUCAUUGCAGGUACCGCAUGAAUAAGGACCGGCUAAUUCCGUG
rnacentral:rRNA from 1 species